UACGUAGGGGCCUAGCGUUGUCCGGAUUUAUUGGGCGUAAAGAGCUCGUAGGCGGUUCGGCGAGUCGGAUGUGAAAUCUCCACGCUUAACGUGGAGGGGCCAUUCGAAACUGCCGUGACUCGAGUCCGGUAGGGGAGUGUGGAAUUCCCGGUGUAGCGGUGAAAUGCGCAGAUAUCGGGAGGAACACCAGUAGCGAAGGCGGCACUCUGGGCCGGUACUGACGCUGGAGGAGACGAAGCGGUGGGAGCAAACAGGG
rnacentral:rRNA from 1 species